GAACGCUGGCGGCAGGCCUAACACAUGCAAGUCGAGCGGUAACAGAAAGAAAGCUUGCUUUCUUUGCUGACGAGCGGCGGACGGGUGAGUAAUGCCUGGGAAUAUGCCUUAGUGUGGGGGAUAACUAUUGGAAACGAUAGCUAAUACCGCAUAACGUCUUCGGACCAAAGAGGGGGACCUUCGGGCCUCUCGCGCUAAGAUUAGCCCAGGUGGGAUUAGCUAGUUGGUGAGGUAAAGGCUCACCAAGGCAACGAUCCCUAGCUGGUCUGAGAGGAUGAUCAGCCACACUGGAACUGAGACACGGUCCAGACUCCUACGGGAGGCAGCAGUGGGGAAUAUUGCACAAUGGGGGAAACCCUGAUGCAGCCAUGCCGCGUGUAUGAAGAAGGCCUUCGGGUUGUAAAGUACUUUCAGUCGUGAGGAAGGCAUUGUAGUUAAUGGCUGCAGUGCUUGACGUUAGCGACAGAAGAAGCACCGGCUAACUCCGUG
rnacentral:rRNA from 1 species